UACGUAGGGGGCAAGCGUUAUCCGGAUUUACUGGGUGUAAAGGGAGCGUAGACGGCGAUGCAAGUCUGAAGUGAAAGCCCGGGGCUCAACCCCGGGACUGCUUUGGAAACUGUAUGGCUGGAGUGCUGGAGAGGCAAGCGGAGUUCCUAGUGUAGCGGUGAAAUGCGUAGAUAUUAGGAAGAACACCAGUGGCGAAGGCGGCUUGCUGGACAGUAACUGACGUUGAGGCUCGAAAGCGUGGGGAGCAAACAGG
rnacentral:rRNA from 1 species